CCUGCCCCCCAAAAUGGGGCGGCCGCAAUUUGCGUUCAAAGAUUCGAUGAUUUCACGAAUUUCUGCAAUUCCACAUUAACUUAUCGCAUUUUGUUGCUUUUUUUAUCGAUGCCAGAAACCCAAAGUUUCGUUGUUAAAAGUUUUGAUUAUUUGCUUGUACCCACUCAGAAGAAAAGUCGUUAAAUCAGGUUUGUUAUCCUCCGGCGGGCCGACCCGCCCGGGGGGAGGCGGAGGUCGCGAGACCCUACCCGCCGAAGCAACAGUAGAGGUAUGUUCACAAAGGGUGUAGAGCUAAACUCAGUAAUGAUCUCCGUAGGUUAACCUGCGGAGGGAUCAUUACUGAGUUUACGCUCUACAACCCUUUGUGAACAUACAUACAACUGUUGCUUCGGCGGGUAGGGUCUCCGCGACCCUCCCGGCCUCCCGCCUCCGGGCGGGUCGGCGCCCGCCGGAGGAUAACCAAACUCUGAUUUAACGACGUUUCUUCUGAGUGGUACAAGCAAAUAAUCAAAACUUUUAACAACGGAUCUCUUGGUUCUGGCAUCGAUGAAGAACGCAGCGAAAUGCGAUAAGUAAUGUGAAUUGCAGAAUUCAGUGAAUCAUCGAAUCUUUGAACGCACAUUGCGCCCGCCAGCAUUCUGGCGGGCAUGCCUGUUCGAGCGUCAUUUCAACCCUCAAGCUCUGCUUGGUGUUGGGGCCCUACAGCCGAUGUAGGCCCUCAAAGGUAGUGGCGGACCCUCCCGGAGCCUCCUUUGCGUAGUAACUUUACGUCUCGCACUGGGAUCCGGAAGGACUCUGCCGUAAAACCCCCCAAUUUUCCAAAGGUUGACCUCGGAUCAGGUAGGAAUACCCGCUGAGCUUAAGCAUAUCGUAACCCGGAGGAAAUCAUUACUGAGUUUACGCUCUACAACCCUUUGUGAACAUACCUACCACUGUUGCUUCGGCGGGUAGGGUCUCGCGACCUCCGCCUCGCUCCGGGCGGGUCGGCCCGCCGGAGAUAACAAAUCUAUUUAAGACCUUUCUUCGGAGUGGUACAAGCAAAUAAUCAAAACUUUUAACAAGGAAACUUUGGGGUUCUGGCAUCGAUAAAAAAAGCACCGGAAUGCGAUAAGUAAUGUGGAAUUGCAGAAAUCAGUGGAAUCACCAAAUCUUUGAACGCAAUUGGGGCCGCCCCAUUCUG
rnacentral:rRNA from 1 species